rnacentral:rRNA from 1 species
UACGUAGGGGGCAAGCGUUGUCCGGAGUUACUGGGCGUAAAGCGCACGCAGGCGGUCUUUUAAGUUUGGAGUGACAGUUGGUGGCUUAACUGCCAAAGUGCUUCGAAAACUGAAAGACUUGAGGGCUUCAGAGGGACACGGAAUUCCGGGUGGAGUGGUGAAAUGCGUAGAGAUCCGGAGGAACACCGACGGCGCAGGCAGCGUCCUGGCCGCUUGCUGACACUGAGGCACGAAAGCUGGGGGAGCAAACAGG